AUGACGAGGCUUCACUCGCCUCUGUCAUCUUCAACAACGAGGACGAUGAUAACAACAACUGUGCACACGUUUCUUCAAGAAUUCAGAUUCGUUCUCGUUUUACAAUACUUCUUCAAUUCUUCUCCGAUUUUUUCUUUGAUUGCGUGGAUGCUAUUGAAGUUGUUGAAUUCGGAUUUGUGUUAUUGUAGUGAUGAAGAUGUACGAAGAGUUGUUGAGAGAUUUGGUUAUGGUGAUGAUGAAGUGCAGUAG